GGAGGCUCCAUUUUUUCAGUGGAUUGUAUGUCCAGCUUCCAACUCGUGCCUCAGAGGAAAUACACUGACAACUUCAAAACUUGACAAGUAAAAAAAAAAUUCUGCUCAUAAAAAGCAUCAGAGGGUUACUUGAAGGGGACCACCAACAGAAUUAGAUCUCAGGGACUAUGAGGAAGAAAUAUCAAACAUACUUGGACCAGACACAAUAACUGGCAUGGAAGGACAUUAUGAUACAUAUGUAACAGGGGCAACCAACACACAGGAACAACCAGCAACAACAUCAAAAAAUGCAUGUGGAGGAGGAAGAGCAAUGCCACCAAGCACUACCAAAUAAAUGUUGUAAGAAAAUGUUUUUAUUGAUGAGGUGUAAAAAAUAUCUUCUGAACUGAAAAGGCCACGUUCAAGCUUCAAUGGCUAUUUUCCUUUAACUUCCUGUUAAACAAAGUAUAACAUAAUUAUGGAUCAAAACCAUCUACUCAAGCAGCAAGAACUUUUUCAUCAACAAAAUAACAAUUCAUUAUUAAGUCUGGUACCAAACCAAAAUGUUAACUCAAGGGAAGGCAAACCUGUUGAUAUCACUAACCAAAACUCUUCUUCCAUGUUGAAUUCUCCUUCCUCAGCUAAUUGUAAAUUGAGCAGCCCUCAAUUUUGGGGCGGGGGCUUUCCCAAAUAAAAAAAACUGUACUGCUUUAUUUUAAUGCUCCUUCCUCAGCUACUUGAAAAAGGGGUGGCCCUUGAGUUGGGGGGUGCAUUUUCCCAAAAAAAAAAUAUAUUCCUGCUUGAUUUUGUGAUUUAUUGGUGGUGUGCAUUUGUUGACAAAUAAAACAAAAUCUUUUUAUGUAAAAAGC